UCAGGACGAACGCUGGCGGCGUGCCUAAUACAUGCAAGUCGAACGAACUCUGGUAUUGAUUGGUGCUUGCAUCAUGAUUUACAUUUGAGUGAGUGGCGAACUGGUGAGUAACACGUGGGAAACCUGCCCAGAAGCGGGGGAUAACACCUGGAAACAGAUGCUAAUACCGCAUAACAACUUGGACCGCAUGGUCCGAGUUUGAAAGAUGGCUUCGGCUAUCACUUUUGGAUGGUCCCGCGGCGUAUUAGCUAGAUGGUGGGGUAACGGCUCACCAUGGCAAUGAUACGUAGCCGACCUGAGAGGGUAAUCGGCCACAUUGGGACUGAGACACGGCCCAAACUCCUACGGGAGGCAGCAGUAGGGAAUCUUCCACAAUGGACGAAAGUCUGAUGGAGCAACGCCGCGUGAGUGAAGAAGGGUUUCGGCUCGUAAAACUCUGUUGUUAAAGAAGAACAUAUCUGAGAGUAACUGUUCAGGUAUUGACGGUAUUUAACCAGAAAGCCACGGCUAACUACGUGCCAGCAGCCGCGGUAAUACGUAGGUGGCAAGCGUUGUCCGGAUUUAUUGGGCGUAAAGCGAGCGCAGGCGGUUUUUUAAGUCUGAUGUGAAAGCCUUCGGCUCAACCGAAGAAGUGCAUCGGAAACUGGGAAACUUGAGUGCAGAAGAGGACAGUGGAACUCCAUGUGUAGCGGUGAAAUGCGUAGAUAUAUGGAAGAACACCAGUGGCGAAGGCGGCUGUCUGGUCUGUAACUGACGCUGAGGCUCGAAAGUAUGGGUAGCAAACAGGAUUAGAUACCCUGGUAGUCCAUACCGUAAACGAUGAAUGCUAAGUGUUGGAGGGUUUCCGCCCUUCAGUGCUGCAGCUAACGCAUUAAGCAUUCCGCCUGGGGAGUACGGCCGCAAGGCUGAAACUCAAAGGAAUUGACGGGGGCCCGCACAAGCGGUGGAGCAUGUGGUUUAAUUCGAAGCUACGCGAAGAACCUUACCAGGUCUUGACAUACUAUGCAAAUCUAAGAGAUUAGACGUUCCCUUCGGGGACAUGGAUACAGGUGGUGCAUGGUUGUCGUCAGCUCGUGUCGUGAGAUGUUGGGUUAAGUCCCGCAACGAGCGCAACCCUUAUUAUCAGUUGCCAGCAUUAAGUUGGGCACUCUGGUGAGACUGCCGGUGACAAACCGGAGGAAGGUGGGGAUGACGUCAAAUCAUCAUGCCCCUUAUGACCUGGGCUACACACGUGCUACAAUGGAUGGUACAACGAGUUGCGAACUCGCGAGAGUAAGCUAAUCUCUUAAAGCCAUUCUCAGUUCGGAUUGUAGGCUGCAACUCGCCUACAUGAAGUCGGAAUCGCUAGUAAUCGCGGAUCAGCAUGCCGCGGGUGAAUACGUUCCCGGGCCUUGUACACACCGCCCGUCACACCAUGAGAGUUUGUAACACCCAAAGUCGGUGGGGUAACCUUUUAGGAACCAGCCGCCUANNNGGGACAGAUGA
rnacentral:rRNA from 2 species